rfam:Loktanella sp. 1ANDIMAR09 PM06_008, whole genome shotgun sequence.
GCGCAUUCUCAGGGCGGGGCGAAACUCCCCACCGGCGGUAUGUGGUUGUGCCAUGAGCCCGCGAGCGCCUUCCAUAUGGAAGGGUCAGCAGAUCAGGUGCGACGCCUGAGCCGACGGUCAUAGUCCGGAUGAAAGAGAAUGCGG